rnacentral:rRNA from 1 species
UCCGUAGGUGGAUAAUUAAGUCAGAGGUGAAAUCCUGCAGCUCAACUGUAGAAUUGCCUUUGAUACUGGUUAUCUUGAGUUAUUAUGAAGUAGUUAGAAUAUGUAGUGUAGCGGUGAAAUGCAUAGAUAUUACAUAGAAUACCAAUUGCGAAAGCAGAUUACUAAUAAUCAACUGACACUGAUGGACGAAAGCGUGGGGAGCGAACAGGAUUAGAUACCCUGGUAGUC